UACAGAGGGGGCAAGCGUUGUUCGGAAUUACUGGGCGUAAAGGGCGCGUAGGCGGCCUUCUAAGUCGAACGUGAAAUCCCUGGGCUCAACCCAGGAACUGCGUCCGAUACUGGAAGGCUUGAAUCCGGGAGAGGGAUGCGGAAUUCCAGGUGUAGCGGUGAAAUGCGUAGAUAUCUGGAGGAAUACCGGUGGCGAAGGCGGCAUCCUGGACCGGCAUUGACGCUGAGGAGCGAAAGCCAGGGGAGCAAACGGGG
rnacentral:rRNA from 1 species